CGCAAAUUACCCAAUCCUGACACAGGGAGGUAGUGACAAGAAAUAACAAUACGGGGCAUAAUGUCUUGUAAUUGGAAUGAUGGGAAUUUAAACCUCUUCCAGAGUAUCAAUUGGAGGGCAAGUCUGGUGCCAGCAGCCGCGGUAAUUCCAGCUCCAAUAGCGUAUAUUAAAAUUGUUGCAGUUAAAAAGCUCGUAGUUGAAUUUCUGCUGCCUUGCCGUUUCUCGUUGCCGAGUUUCAGCAUCGCGGCUUAUUUCGGGCACUGCUUUGCUUUGCCCGGAUGUUUACUUUGAGAAAAUUAGAGUGCUCAAAGCAGGCUUUUGCCUUGUAUAGUUUAGCAUGGAAUAAUAAAGUAGGACUUUGGUUCUAUUUUGUUGGUUUUAGGUACCAAAGUAAUGGUUAAUAGGAACAGUUGGGGGCAUUCGUAUUUAA
rnacentral:rRNA from 1 species